GACGAACGCUGGCGGCGUGCUUAACACAUGCAAGUCGAACGGAAAGGCCCUGCUUUUGUGGGGUGCUCGAGUGGCGAACGGGUGAGUAACACGUGAGUAACCUGCCCUUGACUUUGGGAUAACUUCAGGAAACUGGGGCUAAUACCGGAUAGGAGCUCCUGCUGCAUGGUGGGGGUUGGAAAGUUUCGGCGGUUGGGGAUGGACUCGCGGCUUAUCAGCGUGUUGGUGGGGUAGUGGCUUACCAAGGCUUUGACGGGUGGCCGGCCUGAGAGGGUGACCGGCCACAUUGGGACUGAGAUACGGCCCAGACUCCUACGGGAGGCAGCAGUGGGGAAUAUUGCACAAUGGGCGGAAGCCUGAUGCAGCAACGCCGCGUGCGGGAUGACGGCCUUCGGGUUGUAAACCGCUUUCGCCUGUGACGAAGCGUGAGUGACGGUAAUGGGUAAAGAAGCACCGGCUAACUACGUG
rnacentral:rRNA from 1 species